ACGAACGCUGCGGCGUGGAUAAGACAUGCAAGUCGAACGGGAUAAUUUCUGUAGCAAUAUAAAAAUUGUUCAGUGGCGCAAGGGUGAGUAACACGUGGACAAUCUGCCGAAAAGUGGGGGAUAGCUCGCCGAAAGGCGAAUUAAUACCGCAUGUGGCCAGGGAAAGCAUUUUUCCGAAGCCAAAGCCGGGGUAACCUGGCGCUUUUUGAUGAGUCCGCGGCCUAUCAGCUUGUUGGUGAGGUAAAAGCUUACCAAGGCUAUGACGGGUAGCUGGUCUGAGAGGACGACCAGCCACACUGGAACUGAGACACGGUCCAGACACCUACGGGUGGCAGCAGUCGAGAAUUUUUCUCAAUGGGGGAAACCCUGAAGGAGCGACGCCGCGUGGAGGAUGAAGGUCUUCGGAUUGUAAACUCCUGUCAUUAGAGAACAAUUGCAGGCGGUUAACUGCCGUCUGCUUGAUAGUAUCUGAAGAGGAAGAGAC
rnacentral:rRNA from 1 species